AGAUCACAACCUGAACCAAAAUCAGGAGUCGGACGCUCAACCAGCUAAGACACCCAGGUACCCCAUUUUUUUUGUAUUAUAAAUUGUGCAAACACCUAUCUCUACCCAUUAGACUCAGUAGUGGGUCUGAGUCAUUAGAGGCAGUAGUGGGUCCUUAUCACUUUUAUUUCCAUCCUUUACUAGACUUGCUAGAAGGUAUGUGUACAUACACUGAAAUGAAAUGGCACACCAGGAAAAAAUGUACAUUAGGAACAAAAAUCUGUUUUCUCUCUUCUAAAUUUAAACAUCAGGUACUGGAAUUUUCUCAAAACAGAAGCCCAAUCUAAGGCUCAUUUCACAUGCCUUAUACUACUUAACUAGCAGACAUUCGGCCAAUUCUUUGGAAUAUUUAAGAAACUUACUAGUUCAUACUAGCUAUCAACUGCUGGGCCUUUUUAAGAAUAAAAUAAAUAUAGGUCAGCUACUUUCUCAGUAAAUUACUCAACUAGGAUCACCUUGUAAGCGCUUUGAAAUGUUUAUUGCAUAAAAGGUUUAUUUUUUGAAGUAGCUUCUUAACUACAUCUGUCUGUAAAUUAGUUCUUCCUAAUGCCAAGAUACAGCCUCUAUAAAUCUUGCCUUGGAUGAUGACAGUUUUAGUGGAAGAUAAUAAAAACAGCUGAUUCAUAAAACUCCAUAGUCUUAUGUUAGCAGACAAGGUACAAGAGCAAAGUAUUUCAACUCUGGAAGGGGUGGUCCGGAAGGCUUUGCAGAGUUACAAAUACUUGAGCUUGGAGUUCAAGAACAGAGGGUGCUUUUGAGCCCUUUAUCGGUUCAAGAAAGCCUGUGUCUGAAUUCUGACUCUGCACUUAGCUGGGUGACUGUGGACAAGAUACUUAAGCACUGUGCAACAUUUUCCUAUUUUGUACAUAAGAAUGAUAAUGUAAUCCCCUCCGUAGUGGGGGGUGAGGAUUAAAUGAGUUGCAGUGUAAAUCACUCAGGAUAAUGGUUAACAAAUAUUUAGGUGGUCAAUUUUCUGAAGAGUUUACAGAUCUGAGGAUGUCUCUUGCCUUAAUUUGCGAGUGCCAAUCUGGCUGAUAUGGUAACUUUAGAUCAUACCCUUCCACUCUACGGAUUCAGUUCAUUUUAGACCUGUGUCCUCUGCAAUAACAGAUACGAUGAACAGGGUAAGUGCUGUGAUGGAUUUUUAGACCCUUGUAAGAUUCCUUUGUUGCCUGUGGUGUCAACUCCUGCUAUUCCUGAUCAGUUAGGAAGCCUGUGGACUCAACUUCAUGAGUAAGAACAAAACUUAAUGAGAAGUCUCUUUCCUGUAUAGGAAAUGGGUCUAGAAUAAAUCUUGUGCAUUAAAUCUA